rnacentral:misc_RNA from 1 species
AACGCACAUUGCGCCCCUUGGUAUUCCGAGGGGCAUGCCUGUUCGAGCGUCAUUACAACCCCUCAAGCCUGGCUUGGUGUUGGGGCCCGCGGUCUCGCGGCCCUUAAAAUCAGUGGCGGUGCCCUCUGGCUCUCAGCGUAGUAAUUGCUCUCGCUACAGGGUCCAGUUGGUGGCUGCCAGAACCCCCUAUUUUUUAGUUUGACCUCGGAUCAGGUAGGGAUACCCGCUGAACUUAA